AUUGAACGCUGGCGGCAGGCCUAACACAUGCAAGUCGAGCGGAUGAAGGGAGCUUGCUCCUGGAUUCAGCGGCGGACGGGUGAGUAAUGCCUAGGAAUCUGCCUGGUAGUGGGGGAUAACGUCCGGAAACGGGCGCUAAUACCGCAUACGUCCUGAGGGAGAAAGUGGGGGAUCUUCGGACCUCACGCUAUCAGAUGAGCCUAGGUCGGAUUAGCUAGUUGGUGGGGUAAAGGCCUACCAAGGCGACGAUCCGUAACUGGUCUGAGAGGAUGAUCAGUCACACUGGAACUGAGACACGGUCCAGACUCCUACGGGAGGCAGCAGUGGGGAAUAUUGGACAAUGGGCGAAGGCCUGAUCCAGCCAUGCCGCGUGUGUGAAGAAGGUCUUCGGAUUGUAAAGCACUUUAAGUUGGGAGGAGGGGCAGUAAGUUAAUACCUUGCUGUUUUGACGUUACCAACAGAAUAAGCACCGGCUAACUUCGUG
rnacentral:rRNA from 1 species